rnacentral:rRNA from 1 species
CGUUCCCGGGGCCUUGUANACACCGCCCGUCACACCACGAAAAGCGAGCAACACCCCGAAAGCCGGUGGCCUAACCNCAAGGAGGGAGCCGUCGAAGGUGGGGGCCCCGUGAUUGGGGGUG